UACAGAGGUCUCAAGCGUUGUUCGGAUUCAUUGGGCGUAAAGGGUGCGUAGGCGGCGCGGUAAGUCGGGUGUGAAAUUUCGAGGCUUAACUUCGAAACUGCAUUCGAUACUGCCGUGCUAGAGGACUGGAGAGGAGACUGGAAUUUACGGUGUAGCGGUGAAACGCGUAGAUAUCGUAAGGAAGACCAGUGGCGAAGGCGGGUCUCUGGACAGUUCCUGACGCUGAGGCACGAAGGCCAGGGGAGCAAACGGG
rnacentral:rRNA from 1 species